GAGAACCUCCGGGGGCAGGAGGUUCGACUCGAGCGAAGCGAGAGAACGUUGCGUCAGCAACGGCCCGCAGGGCGAGCCACGAAGUG
rnacentral:sRNA from 1 species